rnacentral:rRNA from 1 species
GUGCCAGCAGCCGCGGUAAUUCCAGCUCCAAUAGCGUAUAUUAAAGUUGUUGUGGUUAAAAAGCUCGUAGUUGAACCUUGGGCCUGGCUGGCCGGUCCGCCUCACCGCGUGCACUGGUCCGGCCGGGCCUUUCCCUCUGUGGAACCCCAUACCCUUCACUGGGCGUGGCGGGGAAACAGGACAUUUACUUUGAAAAAAUUAGAGUGCUCCAGGCAGGCCUAUGCUCGAAUACAUUAGCAUGGAAUAAUAAAAUAGGACGCGCGGUUCUAUUUUGUUGGUUUAUAGGACCGCCGUAAUGAUUAAUAGGGACAGUCGGGGGCAUCAGUAUUCAACUGUCAGAGGUGAAAUUCUUGGAUCAGUUGAAGACUAACUACUGCGAAAGCAUUUGCCAAGGAUGUUUUCAUUAAUCAGGAACGAAAGUUAGGGGAUCGAAGACGAUCAGAUACCGUCGUAGUCUUAACCAUAAACUAUGCCGACUAGGGAUCGGACGGUGUUAUUCAUGACCCGUUCGGCACCUUACGAGAAAUCAAAGUGCUUGGGCUCCAGGGGGAGUAUGGUCGCAAGGCUGAAACUUAAAGAAAUUGACGGAAGGGCACCACCAGGGGUUGAGCCUGCGGCUUAAUUUGACUCAACACGGGGAAACUCACCAGGUCCAGACACAAUAAGGAUUGACAGAUUGAGAGCUCUUUUCUUGAUUUUGUGGGUGUGUGCAUGUCGUUCUUAGUUGGUGGGGUGACUUGUCUGCUUAAUUGCGAUACGAACGAGACCUUAACCUGCUAAAUAGCCCGCAUUGCUCCGCAAGUUCGC